rnacentral:rRNA from 1 species
AAUGAACGCUGGCGGCAGGCCUAACACAUGCAAGUCGAACGCACCUUUCGGGGUGAGUGGCGGACGGGUGAGUAACGCGUGGGAAUAUGCCCUUUGGUACGGAAUAGUCCUGGGAAACUGGGGGUAAUACCGUAUGUGCCCUUCGGGGAAAGAUUUAUCGCCAAAGGAUUAGCCCGCGUUGGAUUAGGUAGUUGGUGGGGUAAUGGCCUACCAAGCCGACGAUCCAUAGCUGGUUUGAGAGGAUGAUCAGCCACACUGGGACUGAGACACGGCCCAGACUCCUACGGGAGGCAGCAGUGGGGAAUCUUAGACAAUGGGGGAAACCCUGAUCUAGCCAUGCCGCGUGAUCGAUGAAGGCCUUAGGGUUGUAAAGAUCUUUCAGAUGGGAAGAUAAUGACGGUACCAUCAGAAGAAGCCCCGGCUAACUCCGUGCCAGCAGCCGCGGUAAUGUACAGUGU